AUCUGCACAUGGCCAAGUUUUUAGCUAUCUAUAAUGUGUUUUAUUUUCGUUGUUUUUGUCAAAAUCGAAACUUGAUUGGUUCAUACAAGGGAUUGCAGAAUGUAUCUGUGAUAUAGAAGCAGGAGAUUAUGUCAAGAUUUCUAACCUUAAAAGUUCACCAGUAUCACUGGUGUUUUUUUUUUUCUUGCAAUUUCCAUACGAAUUAUUGUGUGCGCUUUUAUAGAAAUGAUGAUAUAUGCAUUUGAAGAAAUUACUUUAUACAAGGGAUUGCAGAAUGUAUCUGUGAUAUAGAAGCAGGAGAUUAUGUCAAGAUUUCUAACCUUAAAUGUUCACCAGUAUCACUGGUGUUUUUUUUUUUUUCUUGCAAUUUCCAUACGAAUUAUUGUGUGCGCUUUUAUAGAAAUGAUGAUAUAUGCAUUUGAAGAAAUUACUUGGUGGGAUGCAUUAAAAAAUAAG
rnacentral:lncRNA from 1 species